rnacentral:lncRNA from 1 species
AUGAAUUAACUUCAUCCACUGUAAACUCCACAGAUGGCAAACCUUGAUCGAAUGAAAUUGGACACAGCUGCAGAAAUGAUUUGUCCUCGACAGAAUGCUGUCCAGUAAACAGUGACGAGUAUGAUUGUUUGGGUUGAUUUCCAAUUUGGUUUUCUGAGUAGGUUUUGGAAGCCUCUCCCACAGCACAAGGCUGGGGAGAGGUCAACACUUCCAUUAAGUCGAUCAAGAUUCAAACAGAAAUUCCCUCCAUGAAAUCAAAAUGAAAUGAAAUGGGAAUAUUACUGUAGGUCGAAACUAAGAUCCAUGAUUUAGAAAAAAUGGAUAUAGAUAUGAGGAUAAAAAAAGGAUAGGAUUGUUCGCAAGAAGAAAUGAAAUGGGAAAAUUACUGUAGGUCGAAACUAAGAUCCAUGAUUUAGAAAAAA